rnacentral:lncRNA from 1 species
CUCGCCGGACCCCCUCGACCCUCGCCGACCCCUCUCCUCACGACGCACGUGAGCCCCCGAACGCACCCCCUCUCCUCUCUGCCUCCCUCGCUCGCCCGCUCGUCCGCCGUGGCCGCACCCUGCUCGUGGUCACCGCCGCCCCCGCUCGCGCCCCGCCACGGUCGUCGUCGCCCCAGCGCACGCCCAAGGCCGCCCGUUGUGCCGCUGCAGCCUGCACCCGCGGCCUGCCGUUCGCCCCUCCCCUUGUGCGCCCCGCCUGGGCUGCCUUGCUGCUGCACCUGCUCCUCCCGUUGGCCCCCGCUAGCCGUUGCGACCGCACCCUGCAAUCCUCGUCGCGCCCGCUGCGUCGCCCGAGCCUUGCCUCUGCUCCGCUCGACGCUGACGCCCUUGCAGCCCACCUCCGGCAGCCCCACGACCACCCUUCGGAGCGCCUUGUCGCGCUGCGUCUGCCGAGCCAACCCACCAAUCUAGCCAUCGCAGGAAAUGGCCGGCCGGCGAACACCGCCACUCUCUGUGCUCACUGCCAGGUGGUCCCAGCACAAUUAACCACUAACCAGGACUCUAGCACUCACUGACAGUAGGCCCCGCGAGGCUUAAUUAACGACUAAUAAAAAUUGUUUAAGUAAACUGAAGUACUCACUGACAGCUAGGGCCCACCACUAACUAAUCCAUGUUUAAUUUAAUUGCUCUACUGUGUAUGGCAUGUGGGACCCCACACUAUUGUUGUGGAUAAGACUGUCCCAGUCAGCCUCUGCUGACUGGGCUAUUGACCCAGUCAACAGGGCCCACCAGUCAGCCCCUGUGUAAGCUGACAGGGUGAAACUCUGGGUGCAUUUAGCAUUUUAUUGCUCUGGAUAAUUUGAAAUUUAAUAAAUUAAAUUACUCUGUUAAUUCCAAAAAUGAAUUAAAAUUUUGAAAAUUAAUAUAAAAUAAUUCGUAAUCCGGAUGAAAAUACUUUAUACAUGAAAGUUGCUCAGAACGACGAGACAAAUCAGAAUAUGUAGUCCGUUCGACCACCACAUGUCCCUAGCAUAGCGAACAUGCAACAAUACACCACCGUUUCAUUUGCCCGAAAACGUCAAACACAGGGAAUAUUUUCCCGGAUGUUUUCCCCCUUCGCCAGUAACACCUUCUAUCGCGUUAGGGCACUCUUAGGACCGUUUUUUGCUUUGUCAUGCAUCGUCAUGCUUAUGUUUGCAUUAUAUGUAUUGUUUCUUCCCCCUCUUCUCUCCGGUAGACUACGAGACUGACGCCGCUGUUACCCCAAUCGACUAUGGUGUUGACGACCCCUCCUUGCCAGAGCAACCAGACAAGCCCACCCCCUUGAUCACCCGAUAUCGCCUAUUCCUUCUCUCUACUGCUUGCAUUAGAGUAGUGUAGCUUGUUACUACUUUCGGUUAAUCCUAUUCUAUUGCAUAGCCUGUCAUUGUUGCUACCAUUGUUGAUACCUUUACCUACAAUCCUAAAUGCUUAGUAGAGGUUGCUAGUUAUCAUCAGUGGCCCUACAUUCUUGUCCGUCUACCAUGCUAUACUAUCGGGUCGUGAUCACUUGGGAGGUGAUCACGGGUAUAUAAAUACAUACAUACACAUAUACUAUACAUGUGGUGACUAAAGUCGGGUCGGCUCGUACAGUACCCGCAAGUGAUUUAGAUAUGGGGUCUAAAAAGACAGGUGGUUCUAUCCAGUUAGUAGUGGACCUGGGUUCUCGACGGCCCCUGAGUGCUACUUUGUGGCGGAGCGACAGGGCAGGUUGUGACCACCUAGGAGAUAGGUGGGCCUGGUCCUGGUCGGCGUCCGUAGUUACUUCAAAAUAACACGCUUAACGAGAUCUUGGUAUUUGAUAUGAGCCUGGGUCGUUGACCUUAUACGCACUAACCACCACGUGGGACAAGAUAUGGGCAACUGGCGCCGUGGUAUCAGCCGAAGCCUUCUAGACGUCAGCGACUGAGCGGCGCGCGCUGGAUUGGACUGGAACGCUUGAUCUUGUAUUAGGGAGGCUAUGUCUGCUUUCGGCCGCCCUCGCAAUGUGCAGGUGUGCAAUGGGCGAUGGGCCCAGACCCUUGCGCGCAUAGGAUUUAGACCGGCGUGCUGACCUCUCUAUUAGGCCUAGGUAGGGUUGCGAUGUGUUGAUCUCCCGAGGCCGGACAUGACCCAGGAAAGUGUGCCCGUCCAGAGGGAUCGAGUGUGUCGGGUAAUGUGGUGCACCCCUGCAGGGAAGUUGAUCUAUUCGAAUAGUUGUGUCCACGGUAACAGGACGACCCGGAGUUGUACUUUGACCUUAUGACAAUUAGAACCGGAUACUUAAUAAAAACACACCCAGACAAGUUCGAGAGACAACCCGGUGGUUGCUUUCCCACAGGGUGACGAGGGGAGGAUCGCCGGGUAGGAUUAUGUUAUGCGAUGAUACUUGGUGAACUUACCAUCUACUCUUUUCUACAUGCUGCAAGAUGGAGGCUGCCAGAAGCGCAGUCUUCGAUAAGACUAGCUAUCCCCCUCUUAUUCUGGCAUUCUGCAGUUCAGUUCACCGAUAUUGCCCUUUUACACAGAUACCCAUGCAUAUGUAGUGUAGAUCCUUGCUUGCGAGUACUUUGGAUGAGUACUCAUGGUUGCUUUGCUCCCUCCUUUCCCCCUUUUCCUCUUCUCCUCGGACGCCGCAACCAGAUGAUGGAGCCCAGGAGCUAGACGCCACCGUCGACGACGACCCCUACUACACCGCCGGUGCCUACUACUACGUUCAGGUCGCCGACGACCAGGAGUAGUUUAGGAGGAUCCCAGGCAGGAGGCCUGCGCCUCUUUCGAUCUGUAUCCCAGUUUGUGCUAGCCAUCUUAUGGCACCUUGUUUAACUUAUGUCUGUACUCAGAUAUUGUUGCUUCCGCUGACUCGUUUAUGUUCGAGCACUUGUAUUUGAGCCCUCGAGGCCCCUGACCUGUAAUAUGAUGCUUGUAUGACUUAAUU